GCCGCCUUCUCCCUGCCAGGCGUCAGCGCCACCUAUUGCAAAGGGUAUGAAAUGGCAGGCCGUGGCUUCGACAAUAGCCUCCGGCAUUGGAUAAAGAGAAUAAAAUUGUAUUCGGCCUGAUCUGAGUACUUUUACAUAAUAAAAGUGAAGGCCAAAGAAGUGACAUUUUGAUAGUUAUUAACUACCUAGAGAUCUUCGGCGAGCCUUCCGUAUUUCAGCCCUUCCCCUAAUUUCGCAAUUACCCUAAAGAUGGUGUCCAUCGCCAGCCCUCUCUCUACCCCGUGCUCUCGAUCCUUAUAUUUGCUGCUUUCUGCUGUUCACAUGGCGAACACAGGCAUCACAUACUCAACAAGGGCCAGGUGAAAUUCACUACCCUUUCUCACCUCCUCUUUCCCACACUACAAACUGACCCCUGUCCUAAGAACUGACGCUUCCUUCUCUAGUCUGUAUCUUGGUUAACGCACUUCUGUCCACCCCUGUCUCCCACACACUGUCACCAACCCCUGUGGAACAGUGGAAUGAGACCAAGGGGUCGGGUACCCUUAGAUACAGAUCCCAACAAGUUCCCUCCUCCCCAUCCUUUUCAUCUUACCUCCCAAGGGUCUCUUGAGUUCAGCUUGCUCCCCUCCAUUCCUAAUGCCAUUUGCCCUUGUUCGGGGCAUUAUUUCUCACCUGGACUACUGCCUCCUAAUUGGCUUCCAAGUCUCCACCAUCACACAUUUCUGGUCCAUCAUUCACAAACCUGCCAAAGUGAUUUUUCUAAAAUGCAAAUCUGAUCACAUCUCUCUUAUAAAACUCUUUACUGACACCCUAUUGCUGGUGCUAAAUUCAAGCUCUUCAGCUCCGCAUGCAAAACACUUCAAAAUCUGGUCCUUGCCUUGACUUCCUCUAGAAUCUUCUAUCUUACCACCUCCAUCUUACCCACCCCCACCAAAACCUCAUGAUCUGACCAAACAUUACUAAUUAUAGUUCCUCCCAAAACACCAUGCAGUUUCCUUUCUCCGUGCCUUUACACAUGUUCUCCAGGACCAGCUAUGUCCUGUCCCACUUGGGCUACCUAAAAAAUUCCUCCUCGUUCUUUAAAAAUCAAUGUAAUUUUCACAUCCUCUUGCAAGCCUUCCAUGAAACUUUCCUAUGGAAAUGAUCCCUCCCUCCUCUGUGCUUUCUCUGUCCCUCUGUUGCCUUAUCACAUUGUUUUGUGAUGAUGUUUGCAGACCUGUCUUGUCUCUCCUACCACAGAGCUGAGCUUCUUGAGGACAAGGACAGCAUCUUACUCAUUUCUAUGUCCCUUUUGCCAACCCAACAUUUUAAUUUUCUUUUUAUAGACAAGAGAUCUCACCCUGUCUCCCAGGCUGGAGUGCAGUGGUGCGAUCAUAGCUUGCUGCAGCCUCAAACUCCUGAGCUCAAGAAAUCCUCCUGCUUCAGCCUCUCAAAUAGCUGGUAUUACAGGCAUGCACCGUCAUGCCCAGCUCAACCCAACAUUUUAUAAUAAUGAUGAUAAGAAUGAAUAACAGCAAAUAUUUGUUAAUCGCUUUGUGCCAGACUCUGUGCUGAAUUUCUCAUAUGUACAUUUUUAACUUCUGAUGAUUACCCUAUAAAGAACUAUUAUUAUCCUAAUUUUACUAAUGAGAAAACAGGCUUUGAAAGAUUAAGGAGCUUGCCCAUGGUCACAGAGCUGGUAAAUUGUGGAAUCAAGAUUUAAAUCCAGAUCUAUCUGCUCAUGUUUAUCUAUUCAUCAGUUUGGUAGAACUAAAAUAUUUGAAAAACCACUAGUCAUUUUUUAAAGUAUUAAUGCUUACAGAGUUAAUUUAUCUUUUAAAGGGAAAACACAUAGCUAUUCUACUCUAGUGGAUGGAAAUAGAGUGUUCUAAUUUAAACUAAUGGUAUAGAAAGCCAAAUAAAUACUCUUGAUGUCAGGCUAAAUGAGAAAAUGAUCCUACUUUUAUCCCAUGUAAUCUGUUCUUAUUAUAUGAAUGUUACGAGUAUUUUUGCUUAGAGAUUGAUAUAUUACAAGCCAGUAAUAGAUUUUUCUUAAAAACUCCUUUUGAAGAAGAGAGAUCUAAAUUGAAAGACAACCAUAGAAUGUUUAAUGAGUUGUGAGAGAUGAAGAUACCAAGAUAUUGUGAGGGACGUGUGAGGUCUAAAUGAGUUAAUAUGUGUAAAGCACUUGGUGGGGUGCCUGGCACACAAGAAGCACUGUAUUAUUGCUGCCGCUGUUCUUAUUAAGAACUUCAAGUAGCUUGCAAUCCAGUGGUAGAGAUAAACGCAUAAGCUGACAACAAGUAAUGUGAUAAAUGAUGUAAUUUAGCUAUGAUCAAAAUUCUGUGGGCAUUCCAAGGGGACAGGGUCUGCCAGGGAAUAGGGAGAGUGGCAGGAAAACAAGAUGGCACCCAGAGAUCCCACAGCUGCAGAGUGAGCACGUUGCUAGAACUAGAGCAACGCAACCUUUUUCAGAAACACUUUAUUUGUUGGUAAAUCUUUUACUACUAAAGGCUUUACUUCUUAGAAUCCACAAUGUUUAAAGUUUCCACAGUUUCAAGCACUCCUUUGCCUCUGGUGGUUGGGGGAAGGGGGCCACUGGGCAGAAGGGCAAGGCUUUCACCAAGAUGAUAUGAGAAUGGGGAACAGGGGGAAGAGGUCUCUGAAGCUUAUGAAGAUGUGGCCCAGUACUCAAAGGAAGUUCUGGCCUCAUCUAGAAGUCCAACGAGGAUGUUCAGACUCCAGGAGGGGAAGACACAUUCCCAUCCCCCAGGCUCCUGUCCCUCUCUAGUAGAGGAGAAACAGUGGAGCACAGACUUGGUGAUGUGUACAUUGAGCAAGAGGGAAGGGGUAGGCGGUGGAGCUGUGGCCCAACUUGGCGGGCACUGCCCAAAAAAGCCCACCUUUUUCCUCCAAACCCAUGCCAGGUGUCUAGCACACUAACUCAGUGUUUCCUAAGCCAAAUGACAUGGAAGGCUGCUUAAAAGUCUACAUUCUUUACUACAGGCCAUUAACUUUAUGUAGGCAAAACAUAUUUAUGUUCCUCUGGUUCUUCAAUAAACAGAGUAGAGAAACUUUCUGUGGGUAGUUCACUCUGGGCCGGUGAAAAGAGGGCAGCUAUUCUGAUGUGAAUAACUAAUAAAACAUAUACAGAGAAAAAAAAGUUCAAAAUUAAACAGAGGAACACUGUUGCUAGAAUUAAAUAGAUACAACUUUUUGGGAAGGCAUUUUGGCAAUAGCUAUCAAACUUGACCCAGCUAUUCCACUGUUUCACAUUUAUACUUUAUGUAUACUCCCUGACACAUGUCUAAGAACAAACAAUGCUGUAUUAUUUGAAAAAAAAAUUCAAACUGGAAACAACCUAAAUGUCCAUCGACAGGGUGCUAGUUAUGAGGUUGUCUAACAUGUAAAGCUUCCCAAUGUUACAUGAAAAAGCAAAGUUCAAAAUAGUAUGUAUAUUGUAAUCCUGGUUGUCUAACAUAUAUGUACCAUGUAUCUAAACAUUUAUAGUUACAUUUAUAAUAUUGGUAUAGAUGUAUACGUAUUAGAAAUGCUGGAAAGAUCUAGGUGGGGCAAAUUGGCAGCACAGGAACAAAUUUAAUCUGCAGGAAGAUUUGUUUAUUGGUGGUGGUUGUUUUUUCACUUAAAUGGGAAUGCCUUUAGGAGAGGCUCCCAUACAGUUCCUAUUUAUUCCUCAAUGUAUUCCCUGUUAUCUUACACUCUCUGCUUCCCUCAGUUCCUUCUGGCCCUCAGAGGCAAAUGAGGAAAGAAAUCAUGGUGGUGGGGGCAGCUGAAGGGAUGCUUUAGUCUUUCCUUUCUGUUUCAACACUGUAAGCAAACAUUACUUCAUAAUUUAAGGGAGGGUAGACUAGGAACUUCCAUCAUUUCACAUCCAUGAGAAGAAGGAAUAGAGGAAAAUAAGGAUUCUGGAAGAAGAGGCACUGAGUGGGAAGUGAUUGCUAUAGUCUAGAUAAGGAGCAAGGAGAGUUCGAACUAGCCAGUGACAGCAAGGAUAAAUUGUGAAACUCAGGUUUAAAGCCUCUUUCUGAAUCCCUUCUUGGCCACUGCAGUUAAAGGAAUGCACAGGCUCCCUCAUCCCUUCUUUCUCCACCAUGAAACAUUGCAGCCUGUGGUUGAUCACAUGGGCUGCUGGGCAGAGCUUGAUCACAUGGGCUGUUGUGCUCUAUGGGAGUCUAACUCUGCCCAUAGCACACCCAGAGAGUCUCAUUCUCCUGUCCCUGCAAGUUAAGUUCUCACUCUUCACAGUGCUGGCACCAGCUGUGUAGGAAGCAGGAGCUGUCAGCACCAAAGGUACUAGGGAAAUCAAACCCGAAUGUCCCGGAGCCAAGGUCUACCAGAGAGUACUGUCCUGGCCCAUGUCUACAACAUAGGAUCAGUGGUUUCCCCAGUUAACAUCAAGAUAAUAUUGAAAACUCUACAAUCUGCAAAGUAAAGAUUUACCUUAAAAGAAGAACAAGGAACACUUCCAAGUGAAACAUUCUUUUGUUUUUGGCAGCAGCUAAAAGUCAGACUGGUGCAAGAGUCCUGGAGGCCGUAUUUUAUCUAUUUUAUCUACUGAAAAUUCUUCAGUUGAAUGAAAUUACUUAUUUAAACAGGUUUCACUGAAUUUAGGCUGGUAUUUCAGAGACUUUCUCCUCUGUGGUCUAAGCAGUGGGGAAUGGAAUAUGGUACUAAAGUGGGGAGAAUGAACCAUGAAUAAAGUCAGAUCCAUGAAUUACUCCUCUCUUUGGCCUGUUCAUUUCUCAAAAAAAAAAAAAAAAAAAAGAAGAAGAAAGGAACAAAACCCAGAAUUUCUUUUUUUUUUUUUUUU
rnacentral:lncRNA from 1 species